GAUGAACGCUGGCGGCGUGCCUAACACAUGCAAGUCGAACGGAAAGGCUCCUGCUUGCCGGGGUACUCGAGUGGCGAACGGGUGAGUAACACGUGGGUGAACUGCCCUUCACUUCGGGAUAAGCCUGGGAAACUGGGUCUAUUACCGGGUAGGACGAUGGUUUGGAUGCCAUUGUGGAAAGUUUUUCGGUGUGGGUUGAGCUCGCGGCCUAUCAGCUUGUUGGUGGGGUAAUGGCCUACCAAGCCGUCGACGGGUAGCCGGCCUGAGAGGGUGUACGGGCACAUUGGGACUGAGGUACGGCCCAGACGCGUACGGGAGGCAGCGGUGGGGAAUAUUGCACAAUGGGGGCAAGCCUGAUGCGGCGACGCCGCGUGGGGGAUGACGGCCUUCGGGUUGUAAACUCCUUUCGCUGGGGACGAAGCGCAAGUGACGGUACCUGGAGAAGAAGCACCGGCUAACUACGUG
rnacentral:rRNA from 1 species